UAAAAUAAUAUUAUUUAUAGAUGAUGCGAUAGGAUGCUCGUUUUAAAGUAUAAUAUUUGGGAAUGUGAAAGUUUAGGAAUUAAAAAUGUUUCAAAAAUAAAACAUCUAGCCAAUACAGUGACAGGUGAUGUAUUUUUAAUAAUAAUUUUCACAUGUUUAUUUCACAAGUUGGGCUAAAAUACUAUCGAUAGUAAACAGACUCUGUUAUUACCGAUUUGUUUGCAAUGUUGGGUGUUCAAAUCGAAGAUCAACACUGUUAGAUAUGAUCUAGACCACUUAAAGUAUCUAGAAAUUAAAUUUUAAAGCUCACAAUAUUAAAAUACGAAUGCGAUUCCACAAAAGGAUUUUAGCAAGAUAAAUACAUAUUUAAGAUACGCUAAUCUUCUAUAUUGCGAUAUGCGUAGUGUGAUAUUAUAUAUGGAAACAAUUGGGAUGCACCAAAUACAAUCUUUUCGCGAUCUCAAAUAAAGCCGAAAUAGAUAUACUAUGUAAGAAUUAGGCUGGAAUACUAUCAAUAGCACCAAGCUAUUGGUGCUAUUAGUUUUUUAGCCCUUGGAUUGAGAAAUGUGCGGUUAGAAUGAUGUGGGCCCCGUAGGGUUGAGUGGCUGGUUGGUUGAAUAGUAUAACCUAACGGUAAAACUCGAUAGUAUAAAACCCUUGGUGCUAUCGAUAGUAUCCAAGCCGGAGUCUACUAUGUAAUUUUCACUACAUUGACAAGGUUUAUAUAAUCC
rnacentral:lncRNA from 1 species